UACGUAGGGUGCAAGCGUUGUCCGGAAUUAUUGGGCGUAAAGAGCUCGUAGGCGGUCUGUCGCGUCGGCUGUGAAAACCUGGGGCUUAACUCCGGGCUUGCAGCCGAUACGGGCAGACUAGAGUUCGGCAGGGGAGACUGGAAUUCCUGGUGUAGCGGUGAAAUGCGCAGAUAUCAGGAGGAACACCGGUGGCGAAGGCGGGUCUCUGGGCCGAAACUGACGCUGAGGAGCGAAAGCGUGGGGAGCGAACAGG
rnacentral:rRNA from 1 species